rnacentral:rRNA from 1 species
UCGGACGGUAGCACAGAGGAGCUUGCUCCUCGGGUGACGAGUGGCGGACGGGUGAGUAAUGUCUGGGAAACUGCCCGAUGGAGGGGGAUAACUACUGGAAACGGUAGCUAAUACCGCAUAACGUCGCAAGACCAAAGUGGGGGACCUUCGGGCCUCACACCAUCGGAUGUGCCCAGAUGGGAUUAGCUUGUAGGCGGGGUAACGGCCCACCUAGGCGACGAUCCCUAGCUGGUCUGAGAGGAUGACCAGCCACACUGGAACUGAGACACGGUCCAGACUCCUACGGGAGGCAGCAGUGGGGAAUAUUGCACAAUGGGCGCAAGCCUGAUGCAGCCAUGCCGCGUGUAUGAAGAAGGCCUUCGGGUUGUAAAGUACUUUCAGCGGGGAGGAAGGUGUUGAGGUUAAUAACCUCAGCAAUUGACGUUACCCGCAGAAGAAGCACCGGCUAACUCCGUGCCAGCAGCCGCGGUAAUACGGAGGGUGCAAGCGUUAAUCGGAAUUACUGGGCGUARAGCGCACGCAGGCGGUCUGUUAAGUCAGAUGUGAAAUCCCCGGGCUUAACCUGGGAACUGCAUUUGAAACUGGCAGGCUUGAGUCUCGUAGAGGGGGGUAGAAUUCCAGGUGUAGCGGUGAAAUGCGUAGAGAUCUGGAGGAAUACCGGUGGCGAAGGCGGCCCCCUGGACGAAGACUGACGCUCAGGUGCGAAAGCGUGGGGAGCAAACAGGAUUA